rnacentral:miRNA from 1 species
ACAUAGCCUAAAAGAGGUUAGG